rnacentral:rRNA from 1 species
UGAGGAAUAUUGGUCAAUGGACGAGAGUCUGAACCAGCCAAAUCGCGUGAAGGAAGACUGCCCUACGGGUUGUAAACUUCUUUUGUACAGGAAUAAAAGACAUUACGUGUAAUGUAUUGCAUGUACUGUACGAAUAAGCAUCGGCUAACUCCGUGCCAGCAGCCGCGGUAAUACGGAGGAUGCGAGCGUUAUCCGGAUUUAUUGGGUUUAAAGGGUGCGCAGGCGGGAUUUUAAGUCAGCGGUGAAAUUUUCAGGCUCAACCUGAACACUGCCGUUGAAACUGGGAUUCUUGAGUAUGGAUGAAGUAGGCGGAAUUCGUCGUGUAGCGGUGACAUGCUUAGAUAUAACGAGGAACUCCGAUUGCGUAGGCAGCUUACUAAGCCAUAACUGACGCUCAAGCACGAAAGCGUGGGGAUCAAACA